rnacentral:piRNA from 1 species
UAAGAGAGAAUCAAAUGGAAACUUUCUGA